AAUGGAAGCUGCAGUCAACCGUGUGGAAGAUACCUUUUGCUGUGGAAGGCGGCAAUCCUACAUAAACACGGAGGUCUCUGACUUAGGAUAGCUGCUGGGUCUCAUCAUUCGCCUCCACACAAA
ensembl:scaRNA